AGACUCAGGGGGCGGGGCACAAGCGGGGUAGGGAGAGGCCUCCCCAAAAUGCGCGGUGAACCUGCGCCAGUCUGCACGCCUUAGAGAGGAUCCUCUCGCGACCCCCAGGGGAGGAGGCAGUCUGUUCUGAGGCUCACUAGCUCGUGGACUUGCUGCUUUUCCCAUCCUUCCCCACAGCCUAAGGGCCAGUGUGGAGCACCGCCCCGAGAGGGGCCAUCAGGACAGCUCUGCUUUCACUUGCACCUUGCCGCCCUGGCCGCCGACUUGGAGGGGAGGAAGCGGCGGGUGCUCCUGCCGUUGUCAUCGCCUCGGGCUCCCCAGGCCGACCCCCACGGCAGAUGGAUCUGCUAUGCUCCUGGCCUACAGAGUAACAGCUCUAUGAAGAAGGUGUCCUGUGGUGCAUAGAAGUUCAAGACUCUUUACUCUCCAGUUCCUGGUUCUCCUUUAUGGGAUCCCCAGCUGCUGGUGUUCAGUGGGACCAAUGGAGCAUGCCCAUCCUCCACAAUCAGCUGGAGUCUCAGCCUUCCAGAGUGUUCUAGCUGUCCCUGUAUGUCCAGCCUGCUAAUCACCAGACCCCAAUAUGUAAUGUGGACUCAUGCCCUUGGAGCAGAUCUCCAGAGGCAGAGACCACAGGACACAGGACAACAUCCAGACCACAUCCACACCUGCAAGAACCCAG